rnacentral:rRNA from 1 species
UACGGAGGAUGCGAGCGUUAUCCGGAUUUAUUGGGCGUAAAGCGAGCGCAGGCGGUUUCUUAAGUCUGAUGUGAAAGCCCCCGGCUCAACCGGGGAGGGUCAUUGGAAACUGGGAGACUUGAGUGCAGAAGAGGAGAGUGGAAUUCCAUGUGUAGCGGUGAAAUGCGUAGAUAUAUGGAGGAACACCAGUGGCGAAGGCGGCUCUCUGGUCUGUAACUGACGCUGAGGCUCGAAAGCGUGGGGAGCGAACAGG